AGUGGGGAAUCUUGGACAAUGGGGGAAACCCUGAUCCAGCCAUGCCGCGUGAGUGAUGAAGGCCUUAGGGUUGUAAAGCUCUUUCGCCAGGGAAGAUAAUGACGGUACCUGGAUAAGAAGCCCCGGCUAACUCCGUGCCAGCAGCCGCGGUAAUACGGAGGGGGCUAGCGUUGUUCGGAAUUACUGGGCGUAAAGCGCACGUAGGCGGCUAUCCAAGUUGGGGGUGAAAUCCCUGAGCUUAACCCAGGAACUGCCUUCAAAACUGGAUGGCUAGAGUCCGAGAGAGGUGAGUGGAAUUUCCAGUGUAGAGGUGAAAUUCGUAGAUAUUGGAAAGAACACCAGUGGCGAAGGCGGCUCACUGGCUCGGUACUGACGCUGAGGUGCGACAGCGUGGGGAGCAAACAGGAUUAGAUACCCUGGUAGUCCACGCCGUAAACGAUGGGUGCUAGUUGUCAGGCAGCUUGCUGUUUGGUGACGCAGCUAACGCAUUAAGCACCCCGCCUGGGGAGUACGGUCGCAAGAUUA
rnacentral:rRNA from 1 species